rnacentral:tRNA from 1 species
GCCCUGGUGGUGUAGGGGACAGCACGGGGGACUUCGGAUCCCCAAGCCCGGGUUCAAAUCCCGGCCAGGGCUCUA